rnacentral:rRNA from 1 species
GAUGAACGCUAGCUACAGGCUUAACACAUGCAAGUCGAGGGGAAACGACAUCGAAAGCUUGCUUUUGAUGGGCGUCGACCGGCGCACGGGUGAGUAACGCGUAUCCAACCUGCCCAUCACUUGGGAAUAACCUUGCGAAAGUAAGACUAAUACCCAAUGAUAUCCCACGAAGGCAUCGGAAUGGGAUUAAAGAUUUAACGGUGAUGGAUGGGGAUGCGUCUGAUUAGCUUGUUGGCGGGGUAACGGCCCACCAAGGCAACGAUCAGUAGGGGUUCUGAGAGGAAGGUCCCCCACAUUGGAACUGAGACACGGUCCAAACUCCUACGGGAGGCAGCAGUGUGGAAGAUUGGGCAAUGGGCGAGAGCCUGAACCAGCCAAGUAGCGGGCAGGAAGACGGCCCUAUGGGUUGUAAACUGCUUUUAUAAGGGAAUAAAGUGGGUCACGUGUGACUUUUUGCAUGUACCUUAUGAAUAAGGACCGGCUAAUUCCGUG